rnacentral:rRNA from 1 species
CCUGACGCAGCGACGCCGCGUGUACGAUGAAGGCCCUAGGGUCGUAAAGUACUGUCAACGGGGACGAAAUCUCAUCGGCUAAUACCCGGUGAGGAUGACGGUACCUGUGGAGGAAGCACCGGCUAACUCUGUGCCAGCAGCCGCGGUAAUACAGAGGGUGCGAACGUUGCUCGGGUUUAUUGGGCGUAAAGCGCGUGUAGGCGGCCUAUUAGGUCGGUUGUGAAAGCCCACAGCUCAACUGUGGAAGUGCAACCGAAACCGGUAGGCUAGAGUCCCGGAGAGGAUGGCGGAAUUCCUAGUGUAGAGGUGAAAUUCGUAGAUAUUAGGAGGAACACCGGUGGCGAAGGCGGCCAUCUGGAAGGGUACUGACGCUGAGACGCGAAAGCGUGGGGAUCAAACAGGAUUAGAUACCCUGGUAGUCCACGCCGUAAACGCUGAACACUAGUUGUAGCGGGUAUUGACCCCUGCUGUGACGACGCUAACGCAUUAAGUGUUCCGCCUGGGGAGUACGGCCGCAAGGCUAAAACUCAAAGGAAUUGACGG